AUGGGGACUGCAGCGGCGGCAGCGGCGGCGGCCGGGGAGGGGGCGCGCAGCCCGAGCCCCGCCGCCGUGUCGCUCGGCCUGGGCGUGGCCGUGGUGUCGAGCCUGGUGAACGGGUCCACGUUCGUGCUGCAGAAGAAGGGCAUAGUGCGCGCCAAGAGGCGAGGUACCUCCUAUUUAACAGACAUUGUGUGGUGGGCAGGCACAAUUGCAAUGGCUGUUGGCCAGAUUGGAAACUUCCUGGCUUACACGGCGGUCCCCACGGUCCUGGUGACUCCUCUUGGUGCCCUUGGAGUGCCGUUUGGGUCCAUUUUAGCUUCUUAUCUUCUGAAAGAGAAGCUCAAUAUCUUGGGCAAGUUGGGGUGUCUGCUCAGCUGUGCGGGUUCUGUCGUGCUGAUUAUCCACUCCCCGAAGUCUGAGAGUGUGACCACCCAGGCCGAGCUGGAGGAGAAGCUGACCAACCCAGUGUUUGUGGGCUAUCUGUGCAUCGUGCUGCUCAUGCUGCUGCUGCUCAUCUUCUGGAUCGCGCCCGCCCACGGGCCCACCAACAUCAUGGUCUACAUUAGCAUCUGCUCCUUGCUGGGGAGCUUCACCGUGCCUUCCACCAAGGGCAUUGGGCUGGCGGCGCAAGACAUCUUCCACAACAACCCGUCCAGUCAGCGGGCCCUCUGCCUGUGCCUGGUGCUCCUGGCCGUGCUCGGCUGCAGCAUCAUCGUCCAGUUCAGGUACAUCAACAAGGCGCUCGAAUGCUUCGACUCCUCCGUGUUCGGGGCCAUCUACUACGUCGUGUUCACCACGCUGGUCUUGCUGGCCUCGGCCAUCCUCUUCCGGGAGUGGAGCAACGUGGGCCUGGUGGACUUCUUGGGCAUGGCCUGCGGGUUCACCACCGUCUCCGUCGGGAUUGUCCUCAUACAGGUGUUCAAAGAGUUCAACUUCAACCUGGGGGAGAUGAACAAAUCUAACGUGAAAACAGACUAGGCUGCAGCAGGAGGUUGGAUGGCUUGAGGAACAGGAAACGGAUGUGGUUUCUGGUCCUGGUUUGAUGUAAAGUGGAAGAGACCGUGAAUCGCUGGUGUUAGAGUUGCCUGUACACUGGUGGGUGGGCUGCUGGAGAGUGAAGCCGUGUUGCUCAGCACCAGGGUGGGGGCCUGGCCCUCCGCACGCUGGAGUUGCUCGGUGGUUGCCUGGGCCCCAUCUCUCUGAUCUCACGUUCAUUGCUAUUAACCUGGAAGCUUUCAUGAAUACUCUUUGCUUUGAAAACAUUUCAACAUUAUUUAAGUAGAAAAUAAAGAUGGGCCUUUUCUGGUUAGUCUUUGCAGGGGAGCAGAUACCCUUAACUUAGAAUCUUACUUUGGAAAUGGGAGAAAUUGUUGUCUUGAAGUCUGACUCUACAGCAAAUGUGUCUGUAGUUUGGGUAUUUCGUGUCAAGCAUGUAUAACUUUCAGGUACCUCAUUCAAAUAAGAGGUGCGUGCAUUUGUUUUUAAUCCUCUAAUGAGCUGACUCUCCUAGCCACCCCCACUCCAAGGCAUUUUAAUUGCAAAUAGAGAAGAAUGAAUGGACAAGAUGGAGUUGUUCCAUUUGCAGGAAGAUUUCAAUAGCUCAGAUCAAUUUCAGUGCCUUUUACCACUUGAACUAUUCACUUAAUUUGACUAUUCCUGUGUGUCUGUUCUCUUAGAUUGGAAUACUGCAGCCUCCUUGAUUAUACUUUUACUAUUUCACUGUUCAAAAUAUCAAUGUUCAAGGCAGUUAGGAAUAAUAGUAUAUUCAUUCAUUGGAAGAGUCCAGACUAAAGACACACUGGAGUAAAUUGACCCUUUCAGCAUGUAGUGAUCGCCCAGUUAAAGAGAGUUGACUUAGGGAGCGUGAGGUAUUUAAUUUGCAUUCAGUCUAAUGUAACUGGGAUCCAGUAUUAAAUAUAUCCGUGUUCUCUUUCAGCAAGCACUGUGGCCACUCAAAAGAAAUAAAUUAUUUAACUUGAUAGUAAGGCUGUUAAAGGAGAGAGUAAGUGUUCAGGAGCACAUAUGAGUUCCCUGUAACUCAGGAAUACGUUAAAGGCAAAAUGAAGCUUAGGGCAGUUUCUACAAAUUGGAACACACAGAGUUUUCAAAAGAAUUUCUAGCAAAAAUGAAGACAAUUAAUUUAGCCACCUCCCUGUUGUUUGAGAUGACAGCGCACCCUACAGUUCCUCACCCAACCUCUCAUUAAACUUCUGAAGUGCAAAAUUCACCAUUAAUUAACUAAUCCAGUAUUUGGAUCAAAGAGGCCAUUUGUCUGUCUGUAUUACCCUUCCAUGUGUAUUAAAUGGGAACAAAGCACAGAGUGGUUCAGAUGUUUCAUCGAGAUAUCACGUGCUUCAUGUACAAUGUUGUCUCUAAUUAGGGAAUUAUGCCAGGUUGAAAGGUGAGAUUGGCUAAGGUGGGUCUGGUGAAGUAAAACAUGAAAUUUAGUAACACCCAAUUAAAGUGACUGAGCGAUGUCAAUAGGAGAAAAUUUGUUUUUCAGACAGAAAGAAUAUUUCUAAAGACCCAAGGAGUAGUUCCCUAGAGUGUGGAACAAGGAGGCUAAAUAAAAUGAGGAUAGUUUAACACAGAGCAAAAAACACCUUUAUGAAUUAAAAGUACGUAUGAUGAUCAUGGGUUGUGAGUUAUGAGCUAAGAGCAGCAACAAGAUUAUUUUAAAAUUAAAAAAAAUUACAGUAACUGAUAGUUAACAAAUGCUCAAAAAACUCAUUACUCUUUUUGUCAACUCUUGAAGGUUUGUUUUUUAUCAGUAUUUUUAGGAAUGAAGGCUUUAAUUUAUUGAACUGAACUUCCUGAAAAUAUAAUGUAGCAGUAUCAAUAUACUUUUAGGCAUUAAAAUAGUUUCCUAGGUAAGGAGUCUGAGAUAUUCAAAGAACACAUGUGGCCGUACAAGUAAAAUGAGAAAGUUCCCGUGUCAUAUGGAAAUUACCAUUUUGGGGGAUACAACUUACAUGUGAAGCUUAUUUUAUUUAAAUGCAUCUAUUGGUGUUCUUACUACAGCUAAUCCAUGAUUAUACUGCAGAUACUUAGAGGUGAGGUUUUCCAGAUUAUCUCCCUGUGAUUUUUUUAGAGUAAAACAAAAUCUCGAAGUAUUAAUAGCCUGUCUCCUCUUGAAGGUGAUGUGUCCCCAGGACAGUUUGACUCUCCCAAGUUUACAUCUGUUCAGCAAGUUAUUCUGGGGGUGAUACCCAGCUUUUCUUCCAGUGGAACAAUGUUCAGAUCAUCCAUUAUAUUCCAAAUGCAUGACUCUCGCCUCAAAGUAAUUGACACGAUCAGCAGUCUAACCGCCUCAUUUUCAAGUUUAACAUAGAACAAAUUACUUCUGACUUAAUAGUAUUUAUUUUACUAAUUCAUGUUUUUUUAAUAAUUUAUUUGGAAUUGCAAAAAAUAAAAAAAUAAAAGCUUCAAAAGGGAAGGCCCAGAAUGGGGAUAGGUGUUCUACUGGUCUUUCCAAAAGUAAAUACAUAUAAAACAUUUGCAUUAUUAGGCCGUUCUUUGCAUCUUAUCUUUGAUAAAACUAAGGGGAAAAUGCCUGCUGUCUGCUUGUUUUCAAGCCUCCUCUAAAACCAUGUUUGUGAUCACAACUUACAGAUUUACUCUGGAGAGAUACUUAAAUAGGCCAUUUCUCUCCUCUCCUGCUUGGACAAUGCCUUGUCUUCUCAUCUAAAUCUUUGCAUUUAAAACAAUUGCUUCCUGUUCUGCUCAGUAAUCAAGUGUAGGACCUGUUCAGGAUUCUAACCCAAACGCAGCCCCAAGCCCAGCCUGGGUGUUUGCUGUGCUGAAGGACUGCUCCAUCUCUGCGGAGAAGGCUCUGGAGAGGAAGGGCGGGGUGCUCCCUGCCACCUGGAGGGCAAGACCUGCCCACAGCUGGGACUCGAGGGAGGAAUCAUCACUCAGAUGUCACUGUGGUCUUUUCACAUUAGAGUGUUUGUGAAACACACUUCGCCGCUCUUGGUUCAGCAAUAAGAAAUACUCUUUCAAGUCCUCCUUUUCAAGCCAGUUUGUUACAUGCAGUUUUAUUUCCAGAAGUUCAUUCCAGCGGUAGUAAUUCUGUCUUUGGGUUUUUUUCUUUGGGUUUCAUGUCUGAUCGAGAAAGCACUACUAAAGUGUGCAGUCACCUGUUACCUCCCUUCUUCCUCGACCUCUCAGCUCUUUGUAAAUUCUGUGCUUACUUCCAGAGGCCAGUUCCUAGACAUCCGUAAAGCGCUUGAGAUGUGCUGUCUCCAGGCGUGGACGGGCACUGCCGUCCACGGGGACAGGUGUUGCUCACAGGCCACUGCCGGGCUGCCAGGUUCUUGUUGGGAGAUGAGUCCUCUCCUCUCUAAGCUGCUCAGCUGAUGCAGAAGAAGUCUGCAGCGCUAGGCCCGUCGCUCUUUGAUGCCUGCUUGAUCCUGACUUAGGCUUCCUGCGACUGUGUAGGAACCUAGGAAGAGAAGACGCUUCAGUUUAGAUCCGUUCAUGACUGUCUCGUUGGCUCCGGUGGCCUGAAAAAGUUGUCCUUACCGUGGCUGACACCAAGGGAGUAGUUCACCCAUCAAGCAGGGUUAGAUGGAAUCUUGGUGUUCAACCUUCUCAGGGACCAAAACCGUAACAUGAACUUAGCAUUCACCUUCCUCCCAAGGACGUGUCUGUGUGAGUUUUUCAUAUGUUUUCCUCAUAUUCAUAGCUAGAGGUCUGUUAACUUGAGUUAGAAAGAAAAAAAAAUCAGUUUGCGCACCAGUCACACCAUAAAAGAGUUUAUCAUAUAAAAUACCUCAACUUUCUGUAUUCCUCACUUCCACCUCAAAAGUUGUACUGGUGAUGAAUUUUAAGGGUCUGUCCUUUAGUUUAUAGGUGAUUUCUCACAUCUGGCCAGAUUCUUAUACCUCCAUCAUAUACUUGAAAAGAUUAAGAAUUAUAGGAAUGGAAACAAGAAUUUGGCCCAGUAUCACCAACGCAUUUAUUUUCAUACACGUUUCUCACACACUGUUAAUUGCAACAAAAUAAUUAUAUUUUAAGAAAAUGUAACUUUGUGUUACAUCAAAAAAAUGUUGUCUAGUAGAAAGUUGAUAUUCAGUAUAACAAUGAUCAUGUAAAUAAACAUUAUUUUAAAUGUACCCAAUGUGAUUAAAAAAAAAAAAAGCUUAGUCUAGGGCCUAGAGCAUGAGCCAGGGAGAAGGAUUUAUUUGUUUUUUUCUCUAUUUUUUCUUGAAUUUUGCAACUAUAGGUGAGUCACUUAACCUUUCUGUGCCUCAGUUUCUCUACCUCUAAAGGGGUGGUGUGGUCCUCCAGAUCUACUGUUUUAAAGCACACGCCGGUUAGCGCGUGCGUGCUGGGAGCCUCAGACCAGAGCGCCGUGGGCAGGGAUGCUCUGGAGGGACGCACUGAGCAUCCUGUCUGCUCAGACCGUGCUGCAGACACGCAGCUUCAAGCACUGAGUAAGCAAAGGAAGCACUGGGUGUAAAGUUUGCAUGAUUCCAUGAAACUUUAAUUUCCUUUUUUUGUUGUUGUUUUAAAAGGAAGGGUUUUAUAUAUUCCGUUGUAAAAUAUGGAAAUUAAACAGGGGCUUAAAAAAGCUGCACUGAAAGAUCACAUUCUGAUGGUGUGAUGAGCUUCUCUGACAUUCUGCACAGGUUUAUGUUCUGCUGAAGAUUCAAUGACCCGUGAACCAGAUUGAUUCUGUUGUGUUGAAUUUACGAUAAAUGACGCCGAACUUUCUGCUUCCAAGUGGCUCAGCCCUGACCAUGAAGCUACCUGACGCCAGGAACGAAUAGCCCACGGCUCCACCGCAGUGUAGAAAAUGUCCACCCUGUGCAUCUCUUAGGGAGCAAGUCCAUGAUGUGUGAAGGACUUCAACAUCCAGUGGUUCCCUUCCGAUGCAAUGAAAGGAUGGUGUUAAAGAAAACCAGCUAUAUUUUAGUAUGUUGAUACCUUGUACAUGUUUUUGAGGUAUAUAACAUCUAACAUUUGGAAAAUUGUAUUUUAACAGCUUUAUUGACGCAUAAUUGCUACACAAGGAACUGUGCAUAAUUAACAUGUACAAUUUGAUGAGUUUGGGCACAUGUAAACAUGGCUCCAAGGUUUAUCAAGGCAACAGACAUAGACAACACCUCCCAAAGUUCCCUUGGCAGGGGUAGGGGGUCAGAACACUUAGUAAGAGAUCUGUCCGCUUAGCAGAUUGUGAAAUGCACAACACCAUAUUGGUAAUUAUAGGGGCUAUACAUAACAUUUUAAAUUCAUCGAAAAUUUGAGAGUCAUAACACAUUUUAAUACUCCCAGUGUCAUCAGAAAUCUUGUCAUUAAUCUUUAUUUAGUGUCCUGUAAAUAAUUUUAUUAAAUGAAAAAAAUAUUUGAGCAGAAAUAUUUUUUCUUCAGGUCUAUCCAAAAGGAUUGAAUUAUUCACAUUUUGAUUACAGUAUACCUGUACAGAAAUCAGACACAAAUAUUUUAAGAAAGCACCAAUUGUCUCUCUGGAUAAUCCUUUUCACACAGUUUUUUGGGGUUGUGAAAUGUGUAAGGACCAAAUUCUACAAAAGCUUGCUGGAGUUGGUUACUACAAUAAAAUCAUUAGCUGCUAGCCAAGCACAGUCCUGUUGAACCUGAGUUCUACACUUGGUGCUGAGGACUGCAGGCAGUCAGGCAUGCUGCCAGCUCUCUGCUUCCUCUGCUGAUGAGUCACGCCUCUGUCAGGUGUCCCUUUGGCAUGACAUUGUCAGAAUCUGUUGUGAUGUUGAUCACACCACAUUUUGAACCUCAUACAGUAGUUUCAAAAAGGCUUUUUGUGUUGGAAAGCUGAGGCACAGUUAAAAAACAAAGAGAAAUAAUAAGAUACUUCUCUCUGUAUUAGCAGUUCAGAGAUGAGAGGUGUUAACUAUUGGUAAGAGUUGGGAUUGGAGGUGCACCACGCCAAGCAGGGUAGGAGAGAUGCCAGCCAAGAAGCAAACGCAACAAAUCCAUGUAAAACAACAGAGAAGGGCCUGGAAGGUGGAGGAAAAGUCAAACUAGGUUGUCCAUAAAAUGGGAUCUUUUUAUUUUGGCUGAAGAUGCCCGGGGGAUGUCAGUGAGGCCCCUCCUUCCCCUGGCUCGGUGUGCUUGUUCACCGUGUUGGUUUUCUACUGCUGCUCUGACAAGUUACCACAAACGCUGUAGCUUACAACUACACAAAUUUAUUAUCUCACAGUUGUGGGGGCUGGAGUCCGGCACAAGUUGAACUGGGCUAAAUUCAGGAUGUGGGCAGGAUUACAUUCCUUCCGGAAGCCCUAGAGGAAAAUUUGUUCUCUGCCUUUUUCGGUGUCUAGAGGCCUGGCACAGUCUUUGGCUUGUUCCCCUUUCUCCAUCCUCAAAGCCAACAGUGUUGCAUCUCUGAGCCUUUUUUCAUGGUCAUAUCUCAUUCUCUGACUCUGACACUCCUAUCUCCCUCUUACUAGGACCCUUGUGAUCAUUUUGAGCCCAUUUGGAUAUUCCAAGAUUAUCUUAAUAUCCUUAACUUAAUAUCCUUGCAAAGUCCUUUUUGCCUGCAAGGUAACAUAGCCAUAGGUUCUGAGGAUGAAGACUGUGGAUAUCUUUGGGAGACCAUUAUUCUGUCUACCAGAUCCACCCACCAUUUCAUCAAGUGAGGCAAUUAUUAAAAGCCAACUCCUACGGUUACCAGCAGGUAAAGGGGGUGGGAAGGGAUAAAUUGUGAAUUAGAAAUUUGCUUCUCUUGGGGAGUGAUGGAAAUGGUAGCUUCUUUUUUUUAAUUUAUUUUUUACUUUUUUAUUGAAGUACAGUUGAUUACCAUGUUUCAGUUGUACAGAAAAGUACAUAUAUAUGUAUACAUAUAUUUUUUAACAAUUUUUUUAUUGAGUUACAGUCAUUUUACAAUGUUGUGUCAAAUUCCAGUGUAGAGCACAAUUUUCAGUUAUACAGAAAUGUCAGCUAUCUUGAUCGUGGUGGUGGUUUCACGGGUGUGUAUACCAAAAUUCAUUACAUUGUACAUCUGAAAUGUGUAGUUUACUGUGCAGGAAUCAUACAACAAUAAAGGUGUUAAAAAAAAAAGCCAACUCCUGGCUUUUAAUGCA